AUCUCAUUGGCUCAGUUGGUUAGAGUGUUCGCUUCACAUUAAUGACAGGUCGUCUGAUCUGGUGAUCGCGAAAGGUCCCCGGUUCGAUCCCGGGAUGGGAUA
rnacentral:tRNA from 1 species